rnacentral:rRNA from 1 species
UACGGGGGGGGGCAAGCGUUUGUUCGGAAUUACUGGGCGUAAAGGGCUCGUAGGCGGCCAACUAAGUCAGACGUGAAAUCCCCAGGCUCAACCUAGGAACUGCGUCUGAUACUGGAUGGCUUGAAUCCGGGAGAGGGAUGCAGAAUUCCAGGUGUAGCGGUGAAAUGCGUAGAUAUCUGGAGGAAUACCGGUGGCGAAGGCGGCAUCCUGGACCGGCAUUGACGCUGAGGAGCGAAAGCCAGGGGAGCAAACGGG